rnacentral:lncRNA from 1 species
UACAGGGCGAGAGAAGCGGUGGUAGCGGAGGCUGUAGUGGGGCUGGUGGUGCUUCCAACUGCGGGACAGGGAGUGGCCGUAGCGGCUUGUUGGAUAAGUGGAAGAUAGAUGAUAAGCCUGUAAAAAUUGACAAGUGGGAUGGAUCAGCUGUGAAAAACUCUUUGGAUGAUUCUGCCAAAAAGGAAAGAUCCUACAGGAAUGGAUCCUGAUGAUAUUUGGCAGCUGUCCUCCAGUCUUAAAGGGUUUGAUGACAAAUACACCUUGAAGCUGACCUUCAUCAGUGGGAGAACAAAGCAGCAGCGGGAAGCCGAG